AUUGAACGCUGGCGGCAGGCCUAACACAUGCAAGUCGAGCGAGCGGCGGACGGGUGAGUAAUGUAUGGGGACUGCCCGAUAGAGGGGGAUAACUACUGGAAACGGUGGCUAAUACCGCAUACUAUCGGAGAACCCAUAUGGGAUUAGCUAGUAGGUGGGGUAAAGGCUCACCAAGGCGACGAUCUCUAGCUGGUCUGAGAGGAUGAUCAGGCACACUGGGACUGCGACACGGCCCAACACCCUACGGAGGCAGCAGUGGGGAAUAUUGCACAAUGGGCGCAAGCCUGAUUCUGCCAUGCCGCGUGAGUGAUUACGGCCUUCGGGUUGUAAAGCUCUGUUAAUCGGGACGCGGUACCGGAAUAGAAAGCCACGGCUAACUACGUGCCAGCCGCCGCGGUAAUAC
rnacentral:rRNA from 1 species